rnacentral:lncRNA from 1 species
UUCUGCGUUGUUGCUGCUGUCACCGUCAGCUUCUACAACUGUAGUUGCACGUUCCACGAGGCCGGUGCGGUGGCGCCUCAUUGGGCCAUGAGGCCCCACAUCACAUGCAGAGAGAAAGAACGCCAGGGACUGGACAGGCGCUACAUAGUGACACUAGUCUGUCUCUGCUAAUUAAUCAGUGGUAGUAGUACUCGAGCAAUUAUCCAGGGAAGGACGACAAAGCUGCACAGUUUGGCCACGUUUAAACAGACAUGCAUGAAAGAUGGCCUUGAAUGGAGCUUGAGGUAGCCAUCGUUCGUUCAGAUGAGGGCUCUGUUUCAGUAGAAAUAUGUGGCUCGGGGGUUAAUUCAG